rnacentral:tRNA from 1 species
GGCCGGGUAGCUCAGUUGGUUAGAGCGUUGUCCUUAUAUACCAAGGUUUUGGGUUCAAUCCCCAGGCAGGGCA